rnacentral:rRNA from 1 species
GAACCCCUUUCGAAACACGGACCAAGGAGUCUAGCGUGUGCGCGAGUCAUUGGGUGUAAAACCUAAAGGCGCAAUGAAAGUGUCUGGGGCGCCUCCUUCGGGAGCGCGCCCCUUCGGGAGGAUGGGCCCCCGUGCGACCACUCGCCGGAGCCCCGCACUCCCGGGGCGUCUCGUUCUCAUUGCGAGUGGAGACGCACCAGGAGCGCACACGCUGGUACCCGAAAGAUGGUGAACUAUGCCUGGCCAGGACGAAGCCAGGGGAAACCCUGGUGGAGGUCCGAAGCGAUUCUGACGUGCAAAUCGAUCGUCUGAGCUGGGUAUAGGGGCGAAAGACCAAUCGAACCAUCUAGUAGCUGGUUCCCUCUGAAGUUUCCCUCAGGAUAGCUGGCUCUCGGGAAGAGACGAGUCUCAUCCGGUAGAGCGAAUGAUUAGAGGUGAUGGGGUCGAAACGACUUCAACCUAUUCUCAAACUCCCAAUAGAUGAGAGCCCCGGCUUGCUUAAAAGUGAAGCCGCGGGACUCGGAUCAGAGAUGCCAAGUGGGCCAAUUUUGGUAAGCAGAACUGGCGCUGUGGGAUGAACCAAACGCAGAGUUAAGGCGCCUGAUUCGACGCUCAUUUGAAACCAUGAAAGGCGUUGGUUGCUUAAGACAGCAGGACGGUGGCCAUGGAAGUCGG